rnacentral:lncRNA from 1 species
UCUACCUACCCUGUAUCAUUCAUGCAAUUGUCUUCUCUUCCCUUUCUCCAGGUGCCUCUUUGGAAUGUGUAGUUUGCCGUGGACAAACAUUCUGCACUGGCACAAAGGAACCUUGCCCUUCUGCUGAUGAUGUGUGUUACAUGACUUUGGCAGAACGCCCAAAAGAUAACACCACAGUUACAAAAGUAGUGAAGGGCUGCCUUUCCCCUGACCUCUGCAAAAUAUGGUUCGAGAUUUAUCUUGGACAGGAUAAACACAUCAGGGAAAGCACUGUCUGCUGCUCAAAGGAGAAUUGUUCGCCAGAUUCCCCUGAAUUGCCAAGAAUGCCCCCCGAUGUCAAUGGAAAGUUUUGCCCAUCCUGCUAUUCUAAAAAUGAUGAAUGCCCUGAGGAAUAUGUCUAUUGUACUGGAGGGAAUGCUUUCUGCAUAGGUUUUAUCACGGUUACAGACACGAACGUCGUAAAUAGCACCAUGAAGGGCUGCAUUUCUGAAUCUGGCUGCCAGACACUACAAUCAAUGAACAGACCGCUUUCUGCCUUUCCUAAUAUGAGAAAUGUGACCUGUUCCCAGGCCAAGGUCUCUCAAGCCAGCAGGGCUGCUCCCUCGUUAGCAUAUCCCCUCCUAGUUCUCCUGCUGAUGAAACUUCUCUUAUAAUGUCUCUUUUGCAGCAUCUCAGCAAUGAAGAAAUACUCCUCUCUUCCCCCUUUGCCUCUUGUUUUCACUUCGGCCUUUCAAGGGUAUUUGCCUUCUUCUCUGUUGUAUUGAGUGAAAGUUAAUAAAAGUUGAAAAAACUGAGAUCCUAUCUUUGUCUGCCUAAGAACAUAGGACUCUGCCUUCUACGGAGUCAAACAAUCUAAUUCAGUACUGUUUAAUGGGCAAUGUCUCUCCAGGUUUCAGAAAGAGUUCUCUGCCAGCCCUAUACAGUGGUACCUCGGGUUACAGACGCUUCAGGUUACAGACUCCACUAACCCAGAAAUAGUACCUCGGGUUAAGAAUUUUGCUUCAGGAUGAGAACAGAAAUUGUGCGGCAGUGGUGCGGUGGCAGCAGGAGGGAAUGAGCUGGGAUGCUGGGAAUGAGCCCGGUUUGUUCUGCAUGGAGCUCUGUUGCUGAGCCACAGUCCUUCCCUGCUGUUUCUGCAGACCUGCCAAUCAAAGUGCUCAGAGGUCCAAACUCAAAAUUGGGCCAAAGUCAAGUUACCAACAUUGGGGUAAGAUAUUAAUUGCAUUCACAGGUACUGAGCCAACCAUCCUGCACUGUGUAUCAGACCACUCAUGACAUUAUUUUUGGUUCAAAUUAGGCCACAACUUCAUUGGUUAAAGAUGUAAGGAGCUUUGACUUAGGCAUUGCGUAUAACGCAUAUCAACCAAGUCGCCUGCUGGUUGAUUCACCAAGAGGUUGAUCUGGUGGUGGAGAGUCCCAUGACAUAUAUCAAAUAGGUACUACCCCACCCAGAUUGCCUUGGGAGGAGUGCUAUGGUCCUAGCCCUUGUCUGGGCAUCUGUACAGGAGCAGCUCCUUCAGGAUUAUUAUGAUUUAUUAAUUUUAUAUAAAGCCCUUCAUUUAUAUCUCGGGGCAGUUAAUAAGAUUCUCUAUGCUUAAAGAAGAGUGCUUCUGUUGUUAUUAUCAGUUUGGUUUUUAACCUGCCUUUCCCCCUGAAGGAGCCCAGGCAGGCCAUACUACAAGAUGGCAAACAGCACAAUGCAAUUAAAAACAUCACAAUUUUUAAAAGCAACUAAAACACUAUACAUUAUACAGCAUAUAGAACAUUUUUAAGCUGCUGAACAUACCCCCCGGAAUUAGAAGGCAAUUGGGCUGGAUCCGGCCCCCUGGCCUUAGUUUGCCUAUCCAUGAUUUAAAUCAGGGGUCAGCAAACUUUUUCAACAGUUCACUGUCCCUCAGACCUUGUGGGGGGCUGGACUAUAUAUAUUUUUUUGGGGGGGGAAUGAACGAAUUCCUAUGCCCCACAAAUAACCCAGAGAUGCAUUUUAAAUAAAAGCACAUAUUCUACUCAUGUAAAAACACUGAUUCCCGGACCGUCCGCAGGACGGAUUGAGAAGGCAAUUGGGCCGGAUCUGGCCCCCAGGCCUUAGUUUGCCUACCUGUGAUUUAAAUGCUUGCCAAAGUAUCUUUUUCCUAAUGGCUUUCUUUCAUUUUCAGUUGAUUCUUCCAAUCUCUACAA